ACUCCUACGGGAGGCAGCAGUGGGGAAUAUUGCACAAUGGGCGCAAGCCUGAUGCAGCCAUGCGCGUGUGUGAAGAAGGACCAGUUCCGGGUUGUGAAAUGCAACUUUUCAGUCGUGAGGAAGGUAGUGUAGUUAAUAGCUGCAUUAUUUGACGUUAGCGACAGAAGAAGCACCGGCUAACUCCGUGCCAGCAGCCGCGGUAAUACGGAGGGUGCGAGCGUUAAUCGGAAUUACUGGGCGUAAAGCGCAUGCAGGUGGUUUGUUAAGUCAGAUGUGAAAGCCCGGGGCUCAACCUCGGAAUUGCAUUUGAAACUGGCAGACUAGAGUACUGUAGAGGGGGGUAGAAUUUCAGGUGUAGCGGUGAAAUGCGUAGAGAUCUGAAGGAAUACCGGUGGCGAAGGCGGCCCCCUGGACAGAUACUGACACUCAGAUGCGAAAGCGUGGGGAGCAAACAGGAUUAGAUACCCUGGUAGCUACGAGU
rnacentral:rRNA from 1 species